GGGGGGGGGAGCUAUAAUGCAGUCGAACGAGUUCUCGUUGAUGAUCGGUGCUUGCACCGAGAUUCAACAUGGAACGAGUGGCGGACGGGUGAGUAACACGUGGGUAACCUGCCCUUAAGUGGGGGAUAACAUUUGGAAACAGAUGCUAAUACCGCAUAGAUCCAAGAACCGCAUGGUUCUUGGCUGAAAGAUGGCGUAAGCUAUCGCUUUUGGAUGGACCCGCGGCGUAUUAGCUAGUUGGUGAGGUAAUGGCUCACCAAGGCGAUGAUACGUAGCCGAACUGAGAGGUUGAUCGGCCACAUUGGGACUGAGACACGGCCCAAACUCCUACGGGAGGCAGCAGUAGGGAAUCUUCCACAAUGGACGCAAGUCUGAUGGAGCAACGCCGCGUGAGUGAAGAAGGCUUUCGGGUCGUAAAACUCUGUUGUUGGAGAAGAAUGGUCGGCAGAGUAACUGUUGUCGGCGUGACGGUAUCCAACCAGAAAGCCACGGCUAACUACGUGCCAGCAGCCGCGGUAAUACGUAGGUGGCAAGCGUUAUCCGGAUUUAUUGGGCGUAAAGCGAGCGCAGGCGGUUUUUUAAGUCUGAUGUGAAAGCCCU
rnacentral:rRNA from 1 species